rnacentral:tRNA from 1 species
GCACAUAAAGCUAAUAAGUGAAGCGCUGGUCUUGUAAACCAGAGAUAGAAUCGGAUUCUAUGUGUA